CAGCUGCUGAAAUAUAGUCCCAUUUUCAGAUCUGUGUUUCUUUUUGGCUCUCACUUCUUACCAAGAGAAGCACGACCUCCUCGGCUGAUCUCAAGCAGGGGUGCUGUGACCUGGGGUGCUGGUGGUUGCUGGACAGUGGGAAAACCUAAUGAAUGAGUCCAGCAAUGUGACCCAGAGGACAAAGGUGCAUGCUGCUCUCAUUACUAAUUCACCUGUGCACAUCCACUGCCCACAACCUGGGCCGCACUCAAAAUCCAUGAAGAGCCCGACACUUGUGACUACCAUGACUGUGGGUUGGGCACAGCAGCAGCAAAAACACGGCUGAAGAAAAUGAAAAAUUAGUCUCAGCA